GGACAGGUAUCUCAGAGGCAGAGAGGUCAUUGAUUAUUAUCGAAUAUGAGUCCAAAGGGCUGUGACAAGGCCAGCCACAUGAUAAUAACCGUUGACCAGGUCGCAGGUUCGAAUCCUGCCCUGUCCA
rnacentral:tRNA from 1 species